rnacentral:miRNA from 1 species
AAGACGGGAGAAGAGAAGAGAG